rnacentral:rRNA from 1 species
GACGAACCGUGCGAACGUUAUUCGGAAUCACUGGGCUUAAAGCGCGUGUAGGCGGGACGGUGCGUCGGCCGCUGAAAUCCCCCGGCUCAACCGGGGAAGGGGCGCCGAUACGACCGCCCUGGAGCGACGUAGGGGGAACUGGAACUUCCGGUGGAGCGGUGAAAUGCGUUGAGAUCGGAAGGAACGCCCGUGGCGAAAGCGAGUUCCUGGACGUCGGCUGACGCUGAGGCGCGAAAGCCAGGGGAGCAAACGGG